UACGUAGGUCCCGAGCGUUGUCCGGAUUUAUUGGGCGUAAAGCGAGCGCAGGUGGUUAAUUAAGUCUGGUGUAAAAGGCAGUGGCUCAACCAUUGUAUGCAUUGGAAACUGGUAGACUUGAGUGCAGGAGAGGAGAGUGGAAUUCCACGUGUAGCGGUGAAAUGCGUAGAUAUAUGGAGGAACACCGGUGGCGAAAGCGGCUCUCUGGUCUGUAACUGACACUGAGGCUCGAAAGCGUGGGGAGCAAACAGG
rnacentral:rRNA from 1 species